CGUGAGACAGUUCGGUCCCUAUCUACCGUGGGCGUUGGAAAUUUGAGAGGAUCUGCUCCUAGUACGAGAGGACCAGAGUGGACGAACCUCUGGUGUUUCGGUUGUGACGCCAGUCGCAUUGCCGAGUAGCUAUGUUCGGAUGGGAUAACCGCUGAAAGCAUCUAAGCGGGAAGCCCACCUUAAGAUUAGAUUUCCCUAAAGAGCCGUUGUAGACUACGACGUUGAUAGGUUGGGUGUGGAAGCACAGCGAUGUGUGUAGCUAACCAAUACUAAUUGCUCGUUUGGCUUGACUAUACAACGCCUAA
rnacentral:rRNA from 1 species